UCAAGAAUCUUCCACAAUGGACGAAAGUCUGAUGGAGCGACGCCGCGUGCAUGAUGAAGCCCUUCGGGGUGUAAAGUGCUUUUCUCUGGGACGAACAAAUGACGGUACCAGAGGAAUAAGGGGCUGCUAACCUCGUGCCAGCAGCAGCGGUAAUACGAGGGCCCCAAGCGUUAUCCGGAUUUAUUGGGCGUAAAGCGUACGUAGGCGGUCUAUUACAUCUUCUGUUAAAUCCUAGGGCUCAACCUUGGGACCGCGGGAGAGAUGGAUAGACUAGAGUUCGGGAGAGGCAAGCGGAAUUGCUGGUGUAGGGGUUAAAUCCGUUAAUAUCAGCAGGAACACCAAAUGCGAAGGCAGCUUGCUAGAACGAUACUGACGCUAAGGUACGAAAGCGUGGGGAGCG
rnacentral:rRNA from 1 species